AAAUGAAGGAAGCAUGGUAACGUGCACAAAAAUUGAUUUGGUUCUCUAGGCCUGCCCUCUUUAAUACCUUCCGGCUUUGAUUUGGGGCAUGUUUUUGUAGAAAAACG